AUUGAACGCUGGCGGCAGGCCUAACACAUGCAAGUCGAGCGGAUGAAGGGAGCUUGCUCCUGGAUUCAGCGGCGGACGGGUGAGUAAUGCCUAGGAAUCUGCCUGGUAGUGGGGGAUAACGUCCGGAAACGGGCGCUAAUACCGCAUACGUCCUGAGGGAGAAAGUGGGGGAUCUUCGGACCUCACGCUAUCAGAUGAGCCUAGGCCGGAUUAGCUAGUUGGUGGGGUAAAGGCCUACCAAGGCGACGAUCCGUAACUGGUCUGAGAGGAUGAUCAGUCACACUGGAACUGAGACACGGUCCAGACUCCUACGGGAGGCAGCAGUGGGGAAUAUUGGACAAUGGGCGAAAGCCUGAUCCAGCCAUGCCGCGUGUGUGAAGAAGGUCUUCGGAUUGUAAAGCACUUUAAGUUGGGAGGAAGGGCAGUAAGUUAAUACCUUGCUGUUUUGACGGUACCAACAGAAUAAGCACCGGCUAACUUCGUG
rnacentral:rRNA from 1 species